rnacentral:rRNA from 1 species
AUUGAACGCUGGCGGCAGGCCUAACACAUGCAAGUCGAGCGAGCGGCGGACGGGUGAGUAAUGUCGGGGAAACUGCCUGAUGGAGGGGGAUAACUACUGGAAACGGUAGCUAAUACCGCAUACCAUACGAUGUGCCCAGAUGGGAUUAGCUAGUAGGUGGGGUAACGGCUCACCUAGGCGACGAUCCCUAGAUGGUCUGAGAGGAUGACCAGCCACAUUGGAACGGAGACACGGUCCAGACUCCUACGGGAGGGAGCAGUGGGGAAUAUUGCACAAUGGGCGCAAGCCUGAUGCAGCCAUGCCGCGUGUGUGAAGAAGGCCUUCGGGUUGGAAAGCACUUUCAGCGGGGAGGCGUUACCCGCAGAAGAAGCACCGGCUAACUCCGUGCCAGCAGCCGCGGUAAUAC